rnacentral:rRNA from 1 species
AUGAAGAUCAACACAGAUGGAGCAUGGUGGGUGGUCACCGAAUAUGUGGAAGAACACAACCACAAUCUGAUAAAUAUGUUUGUCCUAGUAAGAUUUCUAUGUGCUCAUAGAGGAUUCAGUCCUCACGAGAAGGAGUUCAUAAAGUUGCUACAUGAUUGUAACGUCGGUCCAUCAAGAAUGGUCCAGAUACUGUCCCUGAUCCACAACAAAAAUGGAAGUAUGAGUAGCUUGCCCUACAUACCAGCAGACGUCAAAAACCUAAAGGCAAAGUACCGUAGAGAGAGCAGGUUCCCUGAUAUAGAAGACACGAUCGCAUACUUCAAAGAGAAAGAAAAGGCAGAUCCUGAUUUCUUCUAGAGGAUAAGAUUGGACAAUUAGGACCAUGUCAAAAACAUGUAUUGUGUGGAUGGUGCGGAAAGAAGAGCCUACAAACAUUUCCGUGAUUGCAUUUCAUUCGACACGACAUAUCUCACGAAUAUGUACAAGUUGCCAUGUGCUCCAUUCAUAGGAACAAAUAACCACAACCAGUCCUUGCAGUUCAGUUGGCUGUUCAAAACCUUCUCAGAGUGCAUGGGUGGACUUGCUCCGAUGAACAUAAUAACAGACCAGGACUUCAGCAUGCGUGCGGGCAUAGAGGAUGUCUUUCCAUUGGCAGUGCAUAGGCACUGUAGGUGGCAUAUCAUUAAGAAGGCUGAAGAGACGCCAGGACCAUUCUUUGCUACUAUGCAACGCAGCGAGGGUUUCAAUGUUGUUUUGAAGCGUUACGACGGGAUUGUGUGCUGCCACAUACUCAAAAUAAUGGAGAUGCACGCGGUCACACAUUUGCCCCGCCAUUUCAUAUGACGACGAUGGACUUGGGACGCCGACGGUGCAUUGGGGCCACAAACAUGA